UUCAUGGCAUUUACUAAUAUGGGACGACAUAUCGUACAUUUUUACACAAGUAACGGACAUGAGCGCAAGACUGAACACAAGAAUUAAUGCUAACACCUCAUAAGAAAAGUUAACAAGGUUGAGGAUUGCUCUAUUUCUCUUACUUUUUUUUAAUCAAGUACUAACUCUAUAGUGUACGUGUCAGUGGCUAUUAACUCCCAAUUCAUUUAGAUGUCAUCCGGAAUUAAAAAACGGAUAACAAAUUUCGGAUAAUGACUAAAUAUUGUUCCAAUGUGGCACCUCAACUUUUGUACCAUCGCUCUCAUCCC